UACGUAGGGGGCAAGCGUUGUCCGGAAUCAUUGGGCGUAAAGGGCGCGUAGGCGGGUGCUCAAGUCCGUGGUGAAAUCCUCCGGCUCAACCGGAGAACUGCCUCGGAUACUGGGUGCCUCGAGGGUGGUAGGGGUAUGCGGAACUAUCGGUGGAGCGGUGAAAUGCGUUGAUAUCGAUAGGAACUCCGGUGGCGAAGGCGGCAUACUGGACCACCUCUGACGCUGAGGCGCGAAAGCCAGGGGAGCAAACGGG
rnacentral:rRNA from 1 species